rnacentral:rRNA from 1 species
AAUCAACGCUGGCGGCGUGCCUAACACAUGCAAGUCGCAAGAGAAAGGGUCUUCGGAUCUGAGUAAAGUGGCGCACGGGUGAGUAACACGUGAAUUAUCUACCUUCGAGUGGGGAAUAACUUCGGGAAAACGAGGCUAAUACCGCAUAAUAUCUACCGAUCAAAGCAGUAAUGCGCUUGAAGAGGAGUUCGCGGCAGAUUAGUUCGUGGGCGGGGUAAUGGCCCACCAAACCGAUGAUCUGUAUCCGGCCUGAGAGGGCGCACGGACACACUGGAACAGAAACACGGUCCAGACUCCUACGGGAGGCAGCAGUGGGGAAUGUUGCGCAAUGGGGGAAACCCUGACGCAGCAACUCCGCGUGGAGGAUGAAGUCUCUUGGGACGUAAACUCCUUUCGGUAGGGAAGAUUAUGACGGUACCUAUAGAAGAAGCCCCGGCUAACUUCGUGCCAGCCGCCGCAGUAA